CAUUGUUGUAGCAUUGUUUUUAAUGGUGCCUGAGGGAUUUUGCAGCCAGGUUUUCAGCUGAGAUUCAGACUGACGUCACGCCUUCUAGAAUUCGGAUCAGCCACCACAACCUGCAAUCUCUCCACCAUUUGGGGCACUCACAUCAUGUCCAGAUCUGCAGAAAUCAGAGUUAAGUCCCAUGCCAUGGACCUGGGCUGCAAGUUGUAUUUCUUGGCAGAUACUUCAUUUUAUGUAUUAUUUAAUUCUUUUUACAAAUUAAGGAAGAUGUGGGAAUGUUGUAGAGCAUCUCUCCACUUGCACUUUUCAUCUCCGAGCCCAUGCUUUUCUGAUUUGUAUCUGAGUGCUUCAGCUCUGUUGGUCUCAGCAGUUGUUCUUUGUAGUUUCUCUGCAGAAGCCGCUGUGUGCAAGGCGGGAGGUCUGUGAUGUGACACCCAGCAAGAGAGCCCCGUGCCCCAGUGGCAUUCAGAUCUAAAGAAAAAGUUACCCUGUGUUUUUCUUGUCCAACCACAGGGACUUCCGCCAUGCCAAAAAACCACUCCAUGGCUGCUUCAACACUCAGAGGCCAGCCCACGAUCGCUGGGUGACCACACACACACUGUGUGGGAGGUGUUGUUCCAUUACUCCAUUGGAAAGCAUACCCCUGUUCCUGGCCGUCAGAAACAUGGCACUGCUGAGUGAUGAAACUGCUGUUUCAUGAGAAAAUGAGCUGGAAAAUGAAGAAUGCAAAAAGGUGGUGAGUUAGGUCAAGCAGCCUCACCACAGCAGCAAGAGUAGCUAGGUUGUACCCUGGUGACCGACUCUGAAAUGGAGUGAUGAGUUGGUGAAUGAGAUGAAGUAAGGAAUCCCUUAGGCUUCAGCCUCUUUCAUAUGGCCCUUAGCUCUCUAGUCCAGGCAUGCCCAACCCGCAGGCCGUGUGCUGCCCGGGCCAGCCCAGCCUGCAUCCUACCCCUGCCCGUGCCAUCAUGGCAGCGGCCCGGCCCCAUACGUGCACCCGUCGCUGACACAGCCAAAGACUGGAGUGUGAUUGGCACUGCAUCAGCAAAACCAGGAGGUGGGCAGGGCACAGUGCCACAUUAUCUCCACCUCUCGUGCCCAGCAUGCACACGCAGUUAAAUCAAAACCUGUGUGUGUGACCGAGGUGUGCCACUGGGUGACUGAGAUGCAGUAAUUACCCGCAGUAACAUUUCAGCCUUCCAUUUGUCUUGCCUCAGGAGGUACCAGAGCCCCCCAAAGAAGAAAAAUUGUGGUUGAAGGAGAAGUGUUUGAUGACAAAUGGACAGAUGUGUACUUGUCUGUUGAGCAAAUCUGAUGGCAGAAGAAGCAGAAGCAUCUUCUGGUGGGGAGUUUAUUGAGCAACGUAUGGACAGCAUCAGAGCUGCAAUCUGCCCUGAUUACAACACAGAUUUUUCUAAAAUCCAUUGGUUUCACUCAACUGUUGCCAGGUGGACUGAAGAAAUGGGCACAUUUGUCGCAAGAAAGUUGGAGAGUAAAGCUGCUAAUUCCAAAAGUUGUCCUCUGGCAAGGGCUGAAAUUACUGAUGCUACAGAUACGACUCAACUUGCUGUCUUCAUAGAAGCACUGUUUUUAAUGGUGCCUGAGAGAUCUUGUUGCUGUGUCUUCAGCUGAGAUUCAGACUGACAACGAUCCUUCUAGAAAUUGGAUGAAUCACCACAGACUGAUGUUUCCCACUCACUUCAUGUCCAGAAAACAAGAUUAACGAAGACCUGGGAAUGUUUUACAGCAUCUAUCCAUCUGCACCUUUUCUCUGAGUCCAUGCAUUGCUGACCUGUAGCUGAGUUCUGCAGCUCAGCUGUUCUCUGCAACUCUUCUUUGUAGUUUCUCUUCAGAAGCCGCUGUGUGCAAGGCAGGAGCUCUGUGAUGUGACACUCAUCAAGACAGCCCCAUGUCCCAGUGCCUCCAGGACCUCCUCCCUGCCAAAUAGAUGUGUCAACCUUCAGGGCCUUUGCUGCUGCCUCUAGGUGACCACUCACACGUUGAAAUCUCAACUGAUCCAAGAGAAGGAAAGAAGCAAUUUGCUGAAUGCCCAGAGCACCAACACAGAGCUACCUCCGAGCCAGCAGCGUGCAACUGCUUGGAGACUGCCUAUGCCAGUCGGCCAGACCUACAGGAAGAACCACUGGAUGAUGCUGAGGAUUCCUGGAUUCAUCGACAGAAGCAGUUUUGUGAGUCAAGGAAACUGUAAGGCAGGAUAUGCCACUACUGACACGGUAAUAGAAGCAAAACCAUUACCUGUGGGGACUUGCACUCAGGAGGCCGAAAUAACUGCCUUGACAAGAGCCUUAAAGAUACGGACAGAUGCUAAAUAUGGGUUUGGAGUGGAAUAUGCUUAUAGUACCACCUGGAAAGAGCAAGGAUUGCUCACACACAAGGAAAACAAAUUCAGCAUGGUGUAAAUCUAUGAAAAAGCGUGGCUAUUAUAUAUUGCAAAGGACAUCAGAAAGGUAACACUGUACAGAAAACUGGAAAUAAGAUGACGGAUCAGGUGGUGGAACAGGCAGCUGAAGGAAAAGAAAUUGUUGAACUGGCUUUAAUUCCAGACGGUAAACUUCAAAUUUCUGAACCCUAGUCAGAAGGUGUGAAGUAUUUUAGAGGGGAUAGGAAUCUAAUUAAUGGUUUGGAAGGGAAGAGAGCAAGCUGACAGAUAGGUGCAUACCCAGAUGGACACAUUGUUAUGCCCAUUAGUAUUUUAUGGAAAUUGGUCCUAAGGAAACAUAGUAAAACAUAUUGGGGGAACAGACGCUACGAAGUAUUUGCACGAUCUGAGUACCAGGAACAGGGAACCUUCCAGGGCAACAAUGGCAAACUGAUUUUUCAGAAUUGCCAAGAAAAGGGGGGUCCUGUUAUAUGCUAGUUCUAACCAAUAUCUUUUCAGGAUGGCCGGAGGCAUUCCCUUGCAGAAUUAAUAAGGCUAGGGAGGUGACAAGAAUUUUGUUACAAGGA